AUUGAACGCUAGCGGGAUGCUUUACACAUGCCAGUCGAACGGCAGCGCGGACUUCGGUCUGGCGGCGAGUGGCGAACGGGUGAGUAAUGUAUCGGAACGUGCCCAGUAGCGGGGGAUAACUACGCGAAAGCGUAGCUAAUACCGCAUACGCCCUACGGGGGAAAGCAGGGGAUCGUAAGACCUUGCACUAUUGGAGCGGCCGAUAUCGGAUUAGCUAGUUGGUGAGGUAACGGCUCACCAAGGCGACGAUCCGUAGCUGGUUUGAGAGGACGACCAGCCACACUGGGACUGAGACACGGCCCAGACUCCUACGGGAGGCAGCAGUGGGGAAUUUUGGACAAUGGGGGCAACCCUGAUCCAGCCAUCCCGCGUGUGCGAUGAAGGCCUUCGGGUUGUAAAGCACUUUUGGCAGGAAAGAAACGGCGCGGGCUAAUACCCCGUGGAACUGACGGUACCUGCAGAAUAAGCACCGGCUAACUACGUG
rnacentral:rRNA from 1 species